rnacentral:rRNA from 1 species
UACGUAGGGUCCGAGCGUUGUCCGGAAUGACUGGGCGUAAAGCGCGCGCAGGCGGCUUUUUAGGCACGACGUGAAAGCCCCGGGCUCAACCCGGGAGGGUCGUCGUGAACCGGGGAGCUUGAGGCCGGUAGAGGUGGGUGGAACUCCUGGUGGAGUGGUGAAAUGCGUAGAGAUCAGGAAGAACACCCGUGGCGAAGGCGGCCCACUGGGCCGGUACUGACGCUGAUGCGCGAAGGCGUGGGGAGCGAACGGG